rnacentral:rRNA from 1 species
UGACUUAGCGGCGACGGGUGAGUAACGCGUGGGCAACCUGCCUUACACAGGGGGAUAACAAUUAGAAAUGAUUGCUAAUACCGCAUAAGACCCCAGUACCGCAUGGUACAGGGGUAAAAACUGAGGUGGUGUAAGAUGGGCCCGCGUCUGAUUAGGUAGUUGGUGGGGUAGAAGCCUACCAAGCCGACGAUCAGUAGCCGACCUGAGAGGGCGACCGGCCACAUUGGGACUGAGACACGGCCCAAACUCCUACGGGAGGCAGCAG